AUUUUCAGCGAUGGAUGUCUUGGCUCGCGCAACGAUGGAGGACGCAGUGAAACGCGGAACGCAAUGUGAAUUGCAGAAUUCAGGCAAUCAUCAAGUUUCUGAACGCAAAUGGCACCUU
rnacentral:rRNA from 1 species